rnacentral:lncRNA from 1 species
AGUUGACUAUACUUCCUCACUCUACCAAAGAGAUAACGGUUUGCUUUUAUCCUUCUGCACUUGGAAGAGCUGGUCAUGAAACUUGUAUCAACUUCUUCUGUACUCAGAUGAAGAACAGCCUAGACACCUUGUCAUUGACCACUGCUGGGACAGCUUCAUGAAUGAGAAUUCUGCCUUCCGAUUUAGUUCUCUGUGUCGUAGGCAAGGAAUCGUGUUGCCUCCGGAAGGAAAUGUAGAUAUCCUGGUGUUAUUUAAACCCAAAAGUAUGACAUUGUGCAAAACAUUGGUCAUUGUUGAAGUGAUAAGAGCAAAUGGGGAAAAUUGGACUAUUGACAACUUUGAUGAAUUAGAUGAAGACUUUAAAAGCAUUAUCGGUAUAGACAAAGAUGACAUUCAAGAAAUACACUGGAUAUAUCCUAUUAUUGGACUCCCACAGGCACCGCUCCCUAAAACUCCUCCACGUAAGUAUAUUUUAGAGGGAAAAAAAUCAAUGAAUCUGUGGAACUUUAGACAUUCUGUAAUUGUAUUUCUUCUUUGUACUAAUAAUAAAUUUGAGUUCAAAAGAAAAUAAAU